rfam:Schistocephalus solidus strain NST_G2 genome assembly, scaffold: SSLN_contig0002542
AGCCCGUGGCUCAAUGGUAGAGCGUUCGUCUCAAAUACCAAAGGUUGCGGGUUCGAAUCCCAGGUGUGCUA